CACAAGCAGUGGAGUAUGUGGUUUAAUUCGAUGUUACACGAAGAACCUUACCUGGGUUUGACAUGUACGUGGUAGGGAAGCGAAAGCGGACCGACCCUUCGGGGAGCGUACACAGGUGCUGCAUGGCUGUCGUCAGCUCGUGCCGUGAGGUGUCGGGUUAAGUCCCGUAACGAGCGCAACCCCUGUCCUUAGUUACAAGUGUCUAAGGGGACUGCCGGCGGUAAGCCGGAGGAAGGUGGGGAUGACGUCAAGUCAGCAUGGCCCUUAUGUCCAGGGCUACACACACGCUACAAUGGCCAGUACAACGGGCAGCGAAACCGCGAGGUGGAGCGAAUCUCAGCAAAGCUGGUCAUAGUUCGGAUUGCAGGCUGCAACUCGCCUGCAUGAAGCUGGAGUUGCUAGUAACCGCGCGUCAGCUAUAGUGCGGUGAAUACGUUCCCGGGGCUU
rnacentral:rRNA from 1 species